AAUAGAUACCCCGGUAGUCCACGCCGUAAACGAUGGAUGCUAGCUAUUGGGGGGAAUCGACCCCCUCCGAAGCGAAGCUAACGCGUUAAGCAUCCCGCCUGAGUAGUACGAGCGCAAGCUUAAAACUCAAAGGAAUUGACGGGGACCCGCACAAGCGGUGGAGCGUGUGGUUUAAUUCGAUGGUAAACGAAGAACCUUACCAAGGUUUGACAUCCCGGUAGCCGUUCUCCGAAAGGAGAAUUUCAUUUAGUUGGACCGGUGACAGGUGAUGCAUGGCCGUCGUCAGCUCGUGUCGUGAGAUGUUGGGUUAAGUCCCGCAACGAGCGCAACCCUUAUGAUUUAGUUGGAUUUUUCUAAACAGACUGCCCUGGUAACAGGGAGGAAGGAGGGGAUGAUGUCAGGUCAGUAUUUCCCUUACACCUUGGGCGACACACGCGCUACAAUGGCCGGUACAAUGGGCAGCUAAGCCGCGAGGUGGAGCAAAAUCCCAUCAAAAGCCGGUCCCAGUUCGGAUUGCAGGCUGAAACCCGCCGUGCAUGAAGCCGGAAUCGCUAGUAACC
rnacentral:rRNA from 1 species